ensembl:lncRNA
AGGAUGUGAGCGUGGACCAUGUGACCAGCAGGAUGCAGGAUUCAUGCGCUGGCUCAGGCCACGGACUCAGACGCUCUGCCCCCCCACCACCAGGCCGAGGAUAAUCACUGACCGGAGCGUGGGCCCCCGACCGGCCCCCGACCGGCUCCCAGUGCUAGGGCGGCGCUGUGUACAGUAGACGUGUGGAAACACCCCUUUCGUUUUUUAAGUUUAACCGCAGUCAGGAAUGUUGUUGUUUUUUUUUUUAGAACGGGGAAAAAUCUCCAAUAAAAGCACGUUAUUUUAUUUCUGUUGCACUUUUGAACGCAACUUUAAAACCAAACCCGCGCACUCAUCGUGAUCACACACUUCGCUAGCGCUUGUUUUGCUGUGACAUCUUGUCCUCGCAGCUCCGGUUGUGUUCUGCAAUGUCCGGAGGCUGCAGGGGCUGGCGGUGGUGAUCUCACCCGCGCCCGCCCCCUGGAGCGAGGGGGUCGUGUUCAUCUGGACUUCUGUUGGACUGCAUGGCGAAGACGAGGUUGAAGAGUAUCACCCACUGUGCGUGUGUGCGUGCGUGUGUGUGUAUGUGUGUGUUACUGACGCUUGGCCCCGCCUCUCAUCAGUUGGAAGCUUUGAUUGACAGGAUUGCCUUUGACCUCGAUGUGAAGCCUCCAGUCUGUCCGUAACAGAGAUGGUGUGGGUUGAUAACCUUUACACGGUAAUCAACGAACAUAACAUUAAAAAACAAGUGACCCAGGCAUUUCCUUUGAAGAAAAAAGUAGUGCAAUAUAUUUUUCUAUUGAGUAUCGAUGUUCUUGCGUAUAACUAGCGUGUGUAGCCCAGUGGUGUGGUUCUCUGAAUGAUGGAGUGGCUCAAAGGAAAACAAUGUGAAGAUGGUCAUUCCUGAGUUAAUUUGGCAAUUGGAGCACAGAAUGGGCUUGAUGUCCUGUUCAAUGGUGCUCUCACACGUUUUCUAACUGUCUGCCUUUUGUCAUUCAUUCGUUGAAGGUGCUUCCUUUUGAGUUUCAGUCUUGAACUGUACUUGUUAGCAUCAUGCUUAUUUUAACAUUGUCAAGUUGUUUUUUUACAUGGUCUGGUUUUAAAAGGUUGCUUUCUCCAACUCGAGGUAUGGAUGUCCCUUCUUAUGAUUGUAGUCCCUGAUUCUGUUCCCCCUAUCACAUAAACGUGUGUAGUCUAUUGUGUGUUCCACUGAGGGAUUGGCACUAGAAGAUAGACACAUGGAGGGAGUCAAAUAAGGCCUAAAACUAGGUAAAAUUAACUCUUAUAUAAUCUGAAUUAAUGGAUGAUAUGUCUGGUAAAAAAAAUAAAUGUUGUUAGAAAAGGAAA